rfam:Stegodyphus mimosarum contig15701, whole genome shotgun sequence.
GGCUUCGUGGUGUAGUGGUCAGCACGCUCGACGCGUAACCGAGAGAUUUGUGGUUCGAUUCCCACCGAAGGCG